UUUCAUGUUUCUCUAAUAGAAUUUCACAAGCAUAACUAGCCUAACUAACUGGAACUAACACCGUGAUUCACCCUUAACUAACUUUGGAUCCAAUUGAACUAACAGAGGUAAUAAAAAUUGAUUCAUCCUUAGAACUUCAGAUUCAUCUUCUCACUCUCUAAAUUCUCUCUCACUCAAUUCACGCCCUCACACAAAGCUCCUUCGAAAUACUCCACUAAAGCUCCGAUGAAGUAAAGCUCAGCCUCACGAAUCUCAGAGCAACUUCACCCUCACAAUCCACUCUCUGCAACCUCUUUGAAACUCUCACUCGAUCUCAGAAGAUGGAAGAAGAAGAAAAGAAACAGAAGAAGAAAAUAGGAGCAAGAAGCACCUUAUUCAAGUGAUUUUCUAUCGCUGCAAGCGUCUUCUCCGAUUCAACAACUUGUUGGAGCAAUUCUCCACUUCAGAGGUACCAUGUUGGACGAAGAGCUAACUUCAGCUCUGAAUGUUUUGUGGAAAGUCAAGGCUCCAUCCAAAAUUCUUUGCUACAAAGGAUCGGCUAUUAAAGAGAGGAGUAGUGCUUGGAAACCAUGAUAGUCCAUGUGUUUUGUGUUUUGUUGAGUUUGAAAAUCUCAAUCAUAUUCUGUUUCAUUGUGCAGUCAGUAUCCAAAUUUGAAAAUCCAUGUGUUUGUUUUUGAGUGGGAUUCGUGUACCCUUGUACUUGCUAAUAAUAUUGUAUUGCUUAAAAAAAAUUAAGUUGUGACGAUCUAACUUUUUAAGUAAAAGAAAAUUAUAGUUUUUAUUA